AAUUCUACAUCGGAGCGUGGCUCACUUUCACGACGAACCUCGGCAACAUAUGAGCAAAAGGACUUAUUAAACGACUCUCGUAUUUCCACCUGACCUUACUUGUUUGACGAAUGUAACAUGGGCAGACUUCAUUGACACUUCAUUGGUAUUUUGGACUGAAAGGAAAAAGAAGGAAAAACGAGAACAGAAAAAAAUAAACAAAGAAGACAAGACGCAAGAUAUGAUUAUUCAGCCGGGAAUAUAUAAUACAUAUAUUUCAUAA
rnacentral:lncRNA from 13 species